GUGGGGAAUUUUGGACAAUGGGCGCAAGCCUGAUCCAGCCAUGCCGCGUGCAGGAUGAAGGCCUUCGGGUUGUAAACUGCUUUUGUACGGAACGAAAAGACUUCUUCUAAUACAGGAGGUCCAUGACGGUACCGUAAGAAUAAGCACCGGCUAACUACGUGCCAGCAGCCGCGGUAAUACGUAGGGUGCAAGCGUUAAUCGGAAUUACUGGGCGUAAAGCGUGCGCAGGCGGUUAUAUAAGACAGAUGUGAAAUCCCCGGGCUCAACCUGGGAACUGCAUUUGUGACUGUAUAGCUAGAGUACGGUAGAGGGGGAUGGAAUUCCGCGUGUAGCAGUGAAAUGCGUAGAUAUGCGGAGGAACACCGAUGGCGAAGGCAAUCCCCUGGACCUGUACUGACGCUCAUGCACGAAAGCGUGGGGAGCAAACAGGAUUAGAUACCCUUGUAGUCC
rnacentral:rRNA from 1 species